AAGCGGCAGACGGGUGAGUAACACGUGGGUAACCUACCCCUGGGUGGGGGAUAACUACUCGAAAGGGUGGCUAAUACCGCAUAAGACCACGGCCUUUCGGGGCUCGAGGUCAAAGGCGCAAGCCGCCUGGGGAGGGGCCCGCGGCCGAUUAGCUAGUUGGCGGGGUAAGAGCCCACCAAGGCGACGAUCGGUAGCUGGUCUGAGAGGAUGAUCAGCCACACUGGUACUGAGACACGGACCAGACUCCUACGGGAGGCAGCAGUGGGGAAUAUUGCGCAAUGGGCGAAAGCCUGACGCAGCAACGCCGCGUGGGUGAUGAAGGCCUUCGGGUCGUAAAGCCCUGUCAGGUGGGACGAAACCUCCUCGCGAGGGGAGCUGACGGUACCACCGGAGGAAGCACCGGCUAACUCCGUGCCAGCAGCCGCGGUAAUACGGAGGGUGCAAGCGUUGUUCGGAAUCACUGGGCGUAAAGGGCGCGUAGGCGGCGAGGCAAGUCCGAUGUGAAAGCCCGGGGCUUAACCCCGGAAGGGCAUUGGAAACUGCCUGGCUUGAGUUCGGGAGAGGAAGGCAGAAUUCCCGGUGUAGGGUUGAAAUCCGUAGAUAUCGGGAGGAAAACCGGUGGCGAAGGCGGCCUUCUGGAACGAAACUGACGCUGAGGCGCGAAAGCGUGGGGAGCAAACAGGAUUAGAGACCCUGGUAGUCCACGCGGUAAACGAUGGAUGCUGGGUGUGGGUGACAAUACGGUCAUCCGUGCCGAAGCUAACGCAUUAAGCAUCCCGCCUGGGGAGUACGGUCGCAAGA
rnacentral:rRNA from 1 species